GUUUUUUUGUUUUUUGUUCUCUUUAAAUUUCCGUUGCUUUGACGAUGACAACUCGUUCCAACGGCGCACCACUUAUGACCUGGAAGUUCCAGUUAAUGGCUGUCAAAGUGUCAUCCAGCUUUAAAUAGCUUAAUAAAGUGUGCAAAUGUUGCAAUUUUCCUACUUUAUUAAUACCUUAUGUGUCAGUCUGUUGAGCUUAGAAAAUGGAAAGCUCAGAUAUUCCUAGUCCUUUCGCUCUCUCUAUUUUUUUUCUUUCUAUUUCUAAUUUU
rnacentral:misc_RNA from 1 species